rnacentral:lncRNA from 1 species
UUUUCCUUAGAAAAUUUAUUCAAUUCAAACUCAAGUGUCUUACAUUAUUUACUUAUCUGGUUUUAAGGUCAGUAUGUUUUUUACCUUCACGUUAUACAUAAUGAAAUUUUAACUUCCAUGAAAGCUAUAUCAUGGAUCGAAUGCUAGUGCUAGAUAAAAUUGCAUAGGAUAUCGUAUCAUAUUUGUUAUGUGAUAAUUCAAUCUUGGUUAAAGUUUAUUAGUUAACUAACUUGGAGAGUUAGUUGAGUUAGUUUCUAACUGUUAUGUGGAUUUCAAGUAACAGGUUGGUUAAGACUUAUUAGUUGAUAUACUUGCUAUACAAGCAAGCUAAAUGAGUGUAAUUCUCUCUUCUCUCUGAUCCUUCUUCUUCUAAAUAACUUGUUCCAACAAUAUCACGUAAAUCGGGAUAAUAUCUCAAAUUUUGUUCCAAAAAAAAAAAUGCUAACUAGUGUCGUUGAGGUAUCGGUUAAAGUACUAAAAUAAGUAAUUUUGUAACUAAAACUUGUGUAAUUAUUGCUAAGACAAAAAUAAAAACUUGCAUUUCUAAAACAUAAUUUCUACUAAUGAAUUUCUUAACCAUUACCCUUAAGGCACUGAUUAGAAGAAAAAAAAAAGAAAAAAAAACUAACUCUUGCGGUAUAAUUAAGACCCACAAUUUCACAAAUAAUGCUUGUUUUCUCCCAUUCAACAAGUUCUAUGUCUUGCUAUUGUUAGCCACAUGAUUGCUUAACUAGACAAUGUAUAGUGCUAUAUAACUGUUAGGAGGACAAUAUUUUGUGGAAAUGAAGGACGUAUGUUCUAAGUUCUAACUUUGAGCACUAGUUUGGAAUAGCUCCUCUAUUGGUAUUAUGUAAUUGUUGAAAUUGUAUGGUUUAGUCAAUAUAAAAGAAGGCCAACCGUUUUUUCAUUUACUUUAGAUAAAACUGAAAUUAUUAUAUAUUUAUUUGGUUCAAUUAAUUCACCAUGGGACUGAUGGUUGACACUUGGAUCCUGCUUUAUAGAGUGCGGCGGUCAUCGUUGUAUCAAUUAAUCACAACAAUGCACAAUAUUAUAAAAAUUAUUUAUACUAUCAUAUAAUGUAUAAUAACUUAAAUUGAACAAUUUGUCAACAAAUAAAACUAUUUUGAAGGAUUUUUUAUUUAUAUUCUAUAAGAUGGUUUAAAAUAAAUAUAAUAAUUAAAACUUUACGAUAUUGCACAACACAAAAAUAGAGGCAGGAAGGAAAAUGAAUGUUUUUCGCUUCCAUGAUGGUGUGUCACAUUCGUAACAGAGUUUUUAUGGCCAUAUCAAGGUUUUGUGAUGAUGGUAACAAAUGUUUUGCUGUGAUUUCUCAUCCUGAAAACAGGUAAUGGACCCGUAUUUAAAACCUUGUUUAUGAUCUAAGAGUGUCUGACGUGCGUUUAUGUCCAACAAGAUCGACACAUGUGAUUACAUUUAAUUAUAUCAUUUUUUUCAAAUACUACUAGUGUUCGUAUUGUGCUAGUGUUUUGUAGAUUACUAUUUUAGUUGUUAAAUUAAUAUAAUAUACUCCUUUGUUUGAGUUUGAACCAGGACCUCACACUCCUUAACCUUGACUCAAAUAAGUGGAGCUAUCCAACCCCAUAGCAUGAAAUCAAAGGGUAAACACUUAUUUUGUUUCCUAAAUGUGUCUUAUGUUAGUAAUUUUAGUGAUCAAAUUGACUAGCGGAAGACACAUUCAAUUGACAAACUAAUUAACAAAAGACACAACCAAACUGGCUUAUGAAAGAUGUAUAUAUUUCUGUAAGUUUUGAUAUAUUCAAAACCUAUUGUCGCAACACCACAACGUUUAAGAGCCAAAGGGAUUGUUUAAUCCGCAAUCAAUUUGAAAAUUUCAGGAAUUUUUAUUUCAGCUAUGUUGCCAAUAGCACGCUAUAGCGGUGUAGUUUGGCAGCGCUGCCCUCCACUUCCGCACCAUAGGCCCGAAAAGCGCCAUUGAGAGUAUCAUCACUAGCGGCCUAUAUUAGUGGUUAAAAAGCAGCGCCAUUGCGGCGCUGGUGCUAUCCCGGUACCGUUGUGAUUUGAUAUCUGCUAUUGCAAUUUUAGGGAAAAAUUCUCAAAAAUCCUGUUACCGUAUCUUUGAGUUUGAGUUCUGUCAUUGUUGCCUUGUAUUGACCAUGAAAAUAAGGAAGUUAGUGUCAUUCACAGAGAUAACUUGUGUAGCAAGUUAUCUUGUUAGUUAUCCAUAAUUAACUGUCAUAGCUAGAAUCUUGUAUAGCGUAUCUACAAUAGCUAUCAUACACACUCUUGUGUCCUAUAAGACAAAUAUGGUAUGACUUAUGAGAGCCUGGUUAUGUCAUCAUUGUUCUCCAUCCUUGCUCUAUUUCUGUGCAAAAGUUUGCACUGUCCAUCCUUUCUAUUUCUGCUCGAGUUCUUUUUUGGUUCGUUUCUGGUUUCGUUCUUCUCCUUCCUUUAUGUUUUUGCAUUGUUAUGUUUGUUUUUGGAAUUUAUGUUUAAUUUAUGUUUUUGACAACAAAGAAUUUCAGAGACUAAAUUGAUGGCUCUCAAAUUUUUUAAUGAAUAUAAGUGAUUCACUCUUUUAACCUAUUGACCAUUAUGCUACUUUAUUAUUGAAGCAAUCCCCAAGUUAGUCAUGAAAUUGUAGGAGUCGAACACUGGAUUUGAGUGGUUGUUCCAAUGUUAUCACAGAAUAGGGAAGGAAUUUAAAAUGGUAUACACAGUUCACCUAAUAGAUUGAGUAAACACAUGACCUUAGAUGUUGUAUUUGCAACUAGUCUUGUUGUGUGUGAUUCAAAAUCAUUUUAAUCUGAAGCUACUUGUUUCUCAAGAAAGUGGAAAUACAAGGCGGUUUUCUUGCUCAGCAAGUCUGUUGAGACGCAAGGCGGUUUCUUGAAGUGCAAGACAAAUAGAGCUAAUUUGUUGAUAGCAAAUGAUAAAUAUGGUGUAGUGAAAGUGAUGUAUUGUAAUGAAACAAUAAGACUUCUGAACUGUUAUGAAUCUACACCAGUUUUAAUGGAGUCUGGUAGGAGGCUUUGCAUUAGUCAUAUUAAAUUUAUCCAACAAUUCUUGAAUAUAAUCAUGUUGAGAUAAAAGGAUACCCUCCUUUGUGGGAAUGAGUUCAAUUCUCAGGAAUUAAUGAGGAUGGCCAAGAUAUUUAAGUGAGAACCUAUUUGACAGUUGUUCCAUUUACUGCUUUAAGAAUUCACUUUGAAUACAUGUCAAAAGAAGAUCAUCUUCAUAGAACAAAAGAAAGACAUUGUUGUUGUAAAUGAAUAAUGAGCAAAAGAAUAAGCAUAACAUGAGCAAAUUGUACAGGUUAAAGAUUCAAUACAAUUUAGGUAUCGCUUUCAAUAUGACUUAGUUGUUAAUUCGAAUUUUAGUAAACUCAAAAGUGAAACCGACUUUACAUUGUUGGACUCACGGUGAACUCAGUAAACUAAAAUAAACUUGUAGGAAAUUUUUAAAAUAUUUUUUUACUUUUUUUUUUCAUCUUGGAUUUCACAUUCUGUUUAUCUACUACUUUAUUAACUUGAUAUUGUUCAUGUUAGUUUUGUUGAAAUUUUGAGUUAUUGUAUUAUAUAAGUAUGUCUCAUAUAUAUUAUUUUAAUAUGAAAUAAACUUGUGAGAAUCCAUAAGUCGAGUUUACAAGUUGAUUUCACGUAGACAAAAUGAGUUUAUUUAAACUCUAGAAAUUGACAGCCUAAUUUUCUGUAGUAGACACCAAAAUUUAUAUCGCGUACAUUCAACAUUAAUACCUUCUUCCUAUUACACUAUAUUACAAAUUAGUAAGGUUCUGUUUGGUAAAAAUAGCGGAUAGCUUAUAAGCUAGCUUAUAGCUUAUAGCUUAUAGCUGAUGACUUAUUCAGCUAGUUGAAGUGUUUGGUAAAAUUAGCGGUUCAACUGACUUAUAAAUGUAAAAUAACAUAAAAGGACAUUCUUAUUUCAUAUUAAAAUUUAUAUUCAUUAAUAUUUAAGUAUUUAUAAUUUAUUAAUUUAAUAUAUUUUUUAUGCAUUAUCUUUAGAAAAAUAUAAAGAGUAUCUACUGAAAAAACAAAAUAUAAAGAGUAAAAGAUUUGGACGUAAAAAAAAAGUAUGGAAAUAAAAUAUAACGAGUUUAGUGAAUUUAAGUAAUAAAAAUAAUGUUAAGCCUAACCAAAAGAAUUUAAACGUCUCUACAUUUUUUUAUAUAUAUUAUGAUGUAGGUAUACUGCAGUUGCAUAAAAACAUAAUUAAUUAUAUCUAUUAUUACAACAAAGGAAGGCAAUGGAUAUUUAUAAGGUAAUUCUAUCUAUUAGUUAAAUUAUAAAGGAUAAAAAUGAAUUUUAGAUAAAAUAUUAAGGGUAAAAAUGGAAGAAAUAUUGAGAAGCUAUAAGCUCAAACGCUACUUGGAAUAGCUUCUAAAAAAUAGCUUAUAAGCUCGUGAAAUAAGCUAUAAGGUCAUGGUGAAAAAGCAUUACCAAACAGAGCUUUUUUUGUCAGACGAGCUUAUAACCUAUAAGCUAUAAGCUCAUUGUGGUGUCUUAUCAAAUAGACCCUAAGUAGUAGCUUCCAUCGGAUAUUUACCCAACCUAAUCAGCCCGCAAAUUUCAACCUUCAACAAUUGCAUCAAAAGGAGAAGAUGAGCACAAUAUAUUAGCAUGCCCCUACUGCAACAAAUUACGAUGUAAACUCCACCACUUGGGCAGACCUUAAGCUAGCACCCCUCCAAGGUGCAAUGGAGGUCACACGCCUAGACGAUGGGCCUUCUUGAUCACAACACCUGCCAGGUAAGUAUGCUGCAAUGUGUCACACACUUCUAUUUUAUAACUCAUGCUCCACAUUAUUCACUAUAAAUCUUCCGAUGUGGGACUUUUAUUAUUACAUUCUAAACACCAUUCAAGUGUCAGCAGUUCAUACCCUAGCUCACACAUUUGCCACUCCAUUAGAUCCAAAUAGACAAAGUAUGUUUAAUCAUAUUGCAGUUGUUGAAUCCGAUAUUUUUUGUUGAACUGAUAAUAUGCGUUACAAAGGCUAUGAAUAAACUUGGUCUCACUGAUGACUAAUUUUGUGUAGAAAAACUUCAAAUGUCUUACUCAAAAAGCUCUUGCAGAAACCAAUUAAGGAAUGUUUUUGCUCCUUGAUCUCCUAACUUUCCCUAUAUUUUCUAUUUUUCUAGAACAGUUAUGUAUAUCAUGUAAGGAAACCUUUUCUAGUGCCAUUACUAUACCUAUUUUUACUUUUGGGGUGUUUGUUUCCAGGUUAUAAAAUUUAUUCCUGGAAAUAUGAGGAUGGGAAUGCACUUUCCCAUGUUUGGUAGAAGGUAAAAGAAAAAUAUACCUGGGAACAAAUUAUACCCAGGAAAAUUUUUAACCUAUGAUCUCCCUAUUUUUAUUCCCAUGAAAAAGGAGUUGGAAUGUUUUAUUCCUAGGAAUGACAUUUGCCUUGCUACAUGAAAACCCCACUACCACCAUGUUUUUUCAACUACCAAUUAAUUUCUAUUUUUUUCUUUUACAUGCUCUACAUCAAGACAUUGUUAUAAUGCAUGUUAUUAUAUGUAAUUCAUCUAUUAUUUCUUUAUGUUCUUUUUGGUUUGUGCAAAAAAAUAUUUAUGUGUCUAUUCAAGUUUUCAACAAUAUUGUUCUAUUAUAACAAUCAACUAUAUUCUAUCAAUCAACUAUAUGAAAACAUAAUUUUAUUUCAUGGUGUAUUUUCAAAUGCUUCAAGUUAUAAUGAAAAUAAAAUGUAGUAAAAUAAAUUCAAAUUGAUUUAGAAACAAGGUAGAGGUAUUUUUGUAACUGUAUCAUGUUUUUUCUAGGAAUAUAUAUUCUAAACUAAACAACAAUUAGCUAUUUAUGGAAACAUUUUUUGAAAAUAUUCCUGAAAAAUUAAAAUACUAACCAAACACUUUUUUUUAAAAUACCCAGGAAUAAACUUCCCACUACUUUAUUCCCAGGUAAAUUAUUCCUGGGAUUAAUUUAUGAAUCCCUGAAACAAACGCCCCUUUGUGUUUGUUUACAUCUUUGUUUUCCACAAUUUAGGCUCAAGUCUCUGUCAAGUCUAACACUCCUUCCAUGCUUAGAGCCUAGAGGACCCAUUUAACUCUUGCGUUUGAACCACCUGGAGGUUUACAUAAGUUGAAUGGUACAAUGGUGUUUCAUGUUUACAAAUUAAAUGCAUAAUUGACACAUGAGUAACAUGAAACACCGUCGCACCAUUCAACUUAUGUAACAUGAAACUCCAUUACACCAUAAGCAGGAAGUCUAACACUUCUUCCAAAUUUACAAAUUAAAUGCAUAAUUUGGAUACACUGUCAUUCAGAGAUGCAACUAAAGCAAGAAUUAAGAAGGUUUCUUCGUGGUCUAUGUGAUGCAGAUCUUAAUGAAUUCGGAACAUCACAUGCAUCAGAAAUGUCGAAUCUUUUCUUGAGAUCUCUUAUGAUUGGAAUGGGAAGUUGCCACAUAUAUAGUCAUUGAUACUCUUGGCAAGAGUUUAUCACAGGUUCCUUCUCUAUCUUCCAUCUCAACUUUACUGAUAUUUAUCUUUAAUUAAGAGAAAAUAAAAUUACUUCCCUUUUUAGAUAAUUAUUAUAUCUUCUUUUUUUUUGUAGGAAAGUGAAAAGGAAUUAUAUGAAAGCAAUUACUUCACAACCUGUUUUCUUUGAAUCAAUUUCCUUGUUUAUAUUUUUCUGCGUAGUUCACUAUACACGGCUCAAGAAUGCGUCUGCAUAGCAUAAUUAGAAUUGCAUAAAUAAAUAAGCGUAUGUUGAUGAUCCAGGGAUUGACAACCCGUGAUUCUAGAGAUUUUUUCCUUCCGGGCAGCAAUUAUCCUUCUUGGUUAGCCUAUACCUGAGGAUAGUGAUUGUAUCAUGAAGGGAAUAAGUUUAU